CAGCCGCGGUAAUUCCAGCUCCAAUAGCGUAUAUUAAAGUUGUUGCAGUUAAAAAGCUCGUAGUUGAAUUUCGGGGUUAGUAGGUUGGUCAUGCCUCUGGUAUGCACUGGCCUCACUGAUUCCUCCUUCCUGAUGAGCCGUAAUGCCAUUAAUUUGGUGUUGCGGGAAUUUGGACUGUUACUUUGAAAAAAUUAGAGUGUUUAAAGCAAGCUAACGCUUGAAUACAUUAGCAUGGAAUAAUGAAAUAGGACGUUCGAUCCUAUUUUAGUUGGUUUCUAGGGAUUGACGUAAUGAUUAAUAGGGAUAGUUGGGGGCAUUAGUAUUCAAUUGUCAGAGGUGAAAUUCUUGGAUUUAUUGAAGACUAACUACUGCGAAAGCAUUUGCCAAGGAUGUUUUCAUUAAUCAAGAACGAAAGUUAGGGGAUCGAAGACGAUCAGAUACCGUCGUAGUCUUAACCAUAAACUAUGCCGACUAGGGAUCGGAUGAUGUUAAUUUUUAAUGACUCAUUCGGCGCCUUACG
rnacentral:rRNA from 1 species